rnacentral:lncRNA from 1 species
GAACUGAGGCUACCAGCCAAGGCCAGAGUUGCCAGGAAUGCAGGAGACCUCACUGCUGAGAUUCAACCUCAGGAAGGCCCAAAAGAUUGUAAGCAGGAGAUGGUCUGAAACUGCCGGUCUGUAUUGGAGCACAACCGAGGUACACCCAGAAGCUGUGCUGUGGGUUUCCUGUCUGGCAAAUGCAAGGUGGCUUCAUCAUCCACAGGGAGACCCCAGUCUCUGGCUGUAUCCAGCCAAGCCCCUGAGCAUCUCCCUGUGCUGGUGUCCUCCUCCUCCACUGGGAUGGGGCCCAGGCCCUGACUCCCCGAACUGUUCCAAUUAAAGAAGGAGCCUGUUUUUGAUGUCAACCACCUGGGAAGGGGAAGUAAGUCCCAUCUGUCCUUCUAGCCCCCUGCUACAUGGACAUUUUCAAGUUCAAACAGGGUCCAGCCUCCUUCCUGUGAGUUGUGGGCCCCACAUCUGGGGCUGGGGAAGGGAGUGAGAGGAAGGGGUGGGACCCUUUGGAAAAGGAUCACAGCUUCUGGGGUGGGGGGAGUUUUCUCCCAGAGCCAGCUGAAUGGUGCUGCCAAGCAGUCAGAGCCCAGCCUGGCGGGGAGCUGGGCUCUAUGCAUUUGCCCUUCAGAUGUCUCCCUUCAUGAAAAAGCAGGAAGUCCAUGGCUUCAAGAGCACAGGCACCCUGUCCUUUCAGAAUGGCUCCUAACAUCUCUGGUAAAUGUGGGGCUUGGGUGCAUCUGGAGUUGCCUGAGCCACUCAAGCUAGAUCAAAUGGUAGGUUAUUAGAAGCAGAGCAAGGACGCCAUGGCUCAUCACUAAAUGGCUGUUUUCUAAGCGCUGCAGUCUCCUCUCUAGGUUUCUACCCUCACUUCCUUCUAACUGGUACAGAGCUGCUGCGACCAUAGUACGCCUUCUCUGGUGUGUCUUCUCACCUUCAGGAGCCCCCGCAGGGGCUUGAACAGAGCCCCAUUCUGCUAAAAUGUAGUUUCACCAGAACCCCAGAUUGUGACCUUAUUUGGAAAUAGGGUCUUUGAAGAUAUAUUUACUUAAGAUGAGGCUGUUCAAUGGCCACUGUCCUUAUAAGAACACAGAAACACAGAAGAGGGUCGUGUGAAGACCAAGAGAAGGGCACGUGAAUGCCAAAGCGGAGAUGAGAGUGCUGUGGACAUGAGCCAGAGAUUGCUCAGAGCCACCUGAAGCCGGAGAGACAAGGAAGCAUCGCUCCUUAGAGGAAUGACCCACAUAAUACUUUGAUUCUGGACAGUAAGCCGCCAGAAAUACGGGACAAUAAAUUGCCGUCAUUUCUAAACA